UACGUAGGGUGCGAGCGUUGUCCGGAAUUAUUGGGCGAAAGAGCUCGUAGGCGGUUUGUCGCGUCUGCUGUGAAAACCCGAGGCUCAACCUCGGGCCUGCAGUGGGUACGGGGCAGACUAGAGUGCGGUAGGGGGAGAUUGGAAUUCCUGGUGUAGCGGUGGAAUGCGCAGAUAUCAGGAGGAACACCAAUGGCGAAGGCAGAUCUCUGGGCCGUAACUGACGCUGAGGAGCGAAAGCAUGGGGGAGCGAACAGG
rnacentral:rRNA from 1 species